CGUAGCUCUUCGGAGCUGCUGUACAGGUGGUGCAUGGUUGUCGUCAGCUCGUGUCGUGAGAUGUUGGGUUAAGUCCCGCAACGAGCGCAACCCCUGUUGUUAGUUGAUAACAUUAAGAUGAUCACUCUAACGAGACUGCCGGUGAUAAAUCGGAGGAAGGUGGGGACGACGUCAAAUCAUCAUGCCCCCUUAUGUCUUGGGCUACACACGUACUACAAUGGCUAUUACAGAGGGAAGCUAAGCCGUAAGGUGGAGCAAAUCCCCAAAAAUAGUCCCAGUUCAGAUUGUGGGCUGAAACCCGCCCACAUGAAGUCGGAAUUGCUAGUAAUGGCAGGUCAGCAUACUGCCGUGAAUACGUUCCCGGGCCUUGUACACACCGCCCGUCACACCAUGAGAGUCUGCAACACCCGAAGUCGAUAGUCUAACCGCAAGGGGGACGUCGCCGAAGGUGGGGCCGAUGAUUGGGGUGAAGUCGUAACAAGGUAGCCGUAUCGGAAGGUGCGGCU
rnacentral:rRNA from 1 species